GACGAAUGCUGGCGGCGUGCUUAACACAUGCAAGUCGAACGGAAAGGCCUCUUUCGGGGGGUACUCGAGUGGCGAACGGGUGAGUAACACGUGAGUAACCUGCCCUUGACUUUGGGAUAACUUCAGGAAACUGGGGCUAAUACCGGAUAGGAGCUCCUGCUGCAUGGUGGGGGUUGGAAAGUUUCGGCGGUUGGGGAUGGACUCGCGGCUUAUCAGCUUGUUGGUGGGGUAGUGGCUUACCAAGGCUUUGACGGGUAGCCGGCCUGAGAGGGUGACCGGCCACAUUGGGACUGAGAUACGGCCCAGACUCCUACGGGAGGCAGCAGUGGGGAAUAUUGCACAAUGGGUGGAAGCCUGAUGCAGCAACGCCGUGUGCGGGAUGACGGCCUUCGGGUUGUAAACCGCUUUCGCUCAUGACGAAGCUUUGUGUGACAGUAGUGGGUAAAGAAGCGCCGGCUAACUACGUG
rnacentral:rRNA from 1 species